UACGGAGGGUGCGAGCGUUGUCCGGAAUCAUUGGGCGUAAAGGGCGUGUAGGCGGGAAGGAAAGUCGGGCGUGAAAUCCCUGGGCUCAACCCAGGAACUGCACUCGAAACUUCUUUUCUUGAGUGCCGGAGAGGAAAGCGGAAUUCCUGGUGUAGAGGUGAAAUUCGUAGAUAUCAGGAGGAACACCAGUGGCGAAGGCGGCUUUCUGGACGGUAACUGACGCUGAGACGCGAAAGCGUGGGGAGCAAACAGG
rnacentral:rRNA from 1 species